rnacentral:rRNA from 1 species
UUAAAUUGAAGAGUUUGAUCAUGGCUCAGAUUGAACGCUGGCGGCAGGCCUAACACAUGCAAGUCGAGCGGUAACACAGAGAGCUUGCUCUCGGGUGACGAGCGGCGGACGGGUGAGUAAUGUCUGGGAAACUGCCUGAUGGAGGGGGAUAACUACUGGAAACGGUAGCUAAUACCGCAUAACGUCGCAAGACCAAAGUGGGGGACCUUCGGGCCUCAUGCCAUCAGAUGUGCCCAGAUGGGAUUAGCUAGUAGGUGGGGUAAUGGCUCACCUAGGCGACGAUCCCUAGCUGGUCUGAGAGGAUGACCAGCCACACUGGAACUGAGACACGGUCCAGACUCCUACGGGAGGCAGCAGUGGGGAAUAUUGCACAAUGGGCGCAAGCCUGAUGCAGCCAUGCCGCGUGUAUGAAGAAGGCCUUCGGGUUGUAAAGUACUUUCAGCGAGGAGGAAGGCGUUAAGGUUAAUAACCUUGGCGAUUGACGUUACUCGCAGAAGAAGCACCGGCUAACUCCGUGCCAGCAGCCGCGGUAAUACGGAGGGUGCAAGCGUUAAUCGGAAUUACUGGGCGUAAAGCGCACGCAGGCGGUCUGUCAAGUCGGAUGUGAAAUCCCCGGGCUCAACCUGGGAACUGCAUUCGAAACUGGCAGGCUAGAGUCUUGUAGAGGGGGGUAGAAUUCCAGGUGUAGCGGUGAAAUGCGUAGAGAUCUGGAGGAAUACCGGUGGCGAAGGCGGCCCCCUGGACAAAGACUGACGCUCAGGUGCGAAAGCGUGGGGAGCAAACAGGAUUAGAUACCCUGGUAGUCCACGCCGUAAACGAUGUCGACUUGGAGGUUGUGCCCUUGAGGCGUGGCUUCCGGAGCUAACGCGUUAAGUCGACCGCCUGGGGAGUACGGCCGCAAGGUUAAAACUCAAAUGAAUUGACGGGGGCCCGCACAAGCGGUGGAGCAUGUGGUUUAAUUCGAUGCAACGCGAAGAACCUUACCUACUCUUGACAUCCAGAGAACUUAGCAGAGAUGCUUUGGUGCCUUCGGGAACUCUGAGACAGGUGCUGCAUGGCUGUCGUCAGCUCGUGUUGUGAAAUGUUGGGUUAAGUCCCGCAACGAGCGCAACCCUUAUCCUUUGUUGCCAGCGGUCCGGCCGGGAACUCAAAGGAGACUGCCAGUGAUAAACUGGAGGAAGGUGGGGAUGACGUCAAGUCAUCAUGGCCCUUACGAGUAGGGCUACACACGUGCUACAAUGGCAUAUACAAAGAGAAGCGACCUCGCGAGAGCAAGCGGACCUCAUAAAGUAUGUCGUAGUCCGGAUUGGAGUCUGCAACUCGACUCCAUGAAGUCGGAAUCGCUAGUAAUCGUAGAUCAGAAUGCUACGGUGAAUACGUUCCCGGGCCUUGUACACACCGCCCGUCACACCAUGGGAGUGGGUUGCAAAAGAAGUAGGUAGCUUAACCUUCGGGAGGGCGCUUACCACUUUGUGAUUCAUGACUGGGGUGAAGUCGUAACAAGGUAACCGUAGGGGAACCUGCGGUUGGAUCACCUCCUUA